rnacentral:rRNA from 1 species
UCCUACGGGACGCAGCAGUGGGGGAUAUUGCGCAAUGGGGGAAACCCUGAUGCAGCGACGCCGCGUGUGGGAAGACGGUCCUCUGGAUUGUAAACCACUGUCCCCAGGGACGAAGAUGACGGUACCUGGGGAGGAAGCUCCGGCUAACUACGUGCCAGCAGCCGCGGUAAUACGUAGGGGGCAAGCGUUAUCCGGAUUUACUGGGUGUAAAGGGGGCGCAGACGGCGAUGCAAGCCAGGAGUGAAAGCCCGGGGCCCAACCCCGGGACUGCUCUUGGAACUGCGUGACUGGAGUGCAGGAGGGGG